UACGGGGGGGCAAGCGUUGUUCGGAAUUACUGGGCGUAAAGGGCGCGUAGGCGGACAGUUUAGUCAGAGGUGAAAGCCCAGGGCUCAACCUUGGAAUUGCCUUUGAUACUGGCUGUCUUGAGUUCGGGAGAGGUGAGUGGAAUGCCGAGUGUAGAGGUGAAAUUCGUAGGUAUUCGGCGGAACACCAGUGGCGAAGGCGACCCACUGGCCCGAUACUGACGCUGAGGCGCGAAAGCGUGGGGAGCAAACAGG
rnacentral:rRNA from 1 species